rnacentral:rRNA from 1 species
UACGGGGGGAGCAAGCGUUGUUCGGAUUUACUGGGCGUAAAGGGCGCGUAGGCGGCGCAACAAGUCACUUGUGAAAUCUCCGGGCUUAACCCGGAGCGGUCAAGUGAUACUGUCGUGCUAGAGUGCGGAAGGGGCUACUGGAAUUCUCGGUGUAGCGGUGAAAUGCGUAGAUAUCGAGAGGAACACCUGCGGCGAAGGCGGGUUGCUGGGCUGACACUGACGCUGAGGCGCGGAAAGCCCAGGGGAGCAAACGGG